GACGAACGCUGGCGGCGUGCCUAAUACAUGCAAGUCGAACGGUUGUAGCAAUACAGCAGUGGCAGACGGGUGAGUAACACGUGGGAACCUCCCUAGGGGUACGGAACAACUCAGGGAAACUUGAGCUAAUACCGUAUACGUCCGUGAGGAGAAAGAUUUAUCGCCCUUAGACGGGCCCGCGUCGGAUUAGCUAGUUGGUGGGGUAACGGCCUACCAAGGCGACGAUCCGUAGCUGAUCUUAGAGGAUGAUCAGCCACACUGGGACUGAGACACGGCCCAGACUCCUACGGGAGGCAGCAGUGGGGAAUCUUGGACAAUGGGCGCAAGCCUGAUCCAGCCAUGCCGCGUGAGUGAAGAAGGUCUUCGGAUUGUAAAGCUCUUUUGCCAGGGACGAUAAUGACGGUACCUGGAGAAUAAGCCCCGGCAAACUUCGUGCCAGCCGCCGCGGUAA
rnacentral:rRNA from 1 species